AAGUAAGAAGCAAAAUUUGCAUUUAGUUUCGACCUAAAAGUUAGGCUUAGGGGGCCCUUACUUA
rnacentral:tRNA from 1 species